AUUGAACGCUGGCGGCAGGCCUAACACAUGCAAGUCGAACGGUAACAGGAAACAGCUUGCUGUUUCGCUGACGAGUGGCGGACGGGUGAGUAAUGUCUGGGAAACUGCCUGAUGGAGGGGGAUAACUACUGGAAACGGUAGCUAAUACCGCAUAACGUCGCAAGACCAAAGAGGGGGACCCUCGGGCCUCUUGCCAUCGGAUGUGCCCAGAUGGGAUUAGCUUGUUGGUGGGGUAACGGCUCACCUAGGCGACGAUCCCUAGCUGGUCUGAGAGGAUGACCAGCCACACUGGAACUGAGACACGGUCCAGACUCCUACGGGAGGCAGCAGUGGGGAAUAUUGCACAAUGGGCGCAAGCCUGAUGCAGCCAUGCCGCGUGUAUGAAGAAGGCCUUCGGGUUGUAAAGUACUUUCAGCGGGGAGGAAGGGAGUAAAGUUAAUACCUUUGCUCAUUGACGUUACCCGCAGAAGAAGCACCGGCUAACUCCGUGCCAGCAGCCGCGGUAAUACGGAGGGUGCAAGCGUUAAUCGGAAUUACUGGGCGUAAAGCGCACGCAGGCGGUUUGUUAAGUCAGAUGUGAAAUCCCCGGGCUCAACCUGGGAACUGCAUCUGAUACUGGCAAGCUUGAGUCUCGUAGAGGGGGGUAGAAUUCCAGGUGUAGCGGUGAAAUGCGUAGAGAUCUGGAGGAAUACCGGUGGCGAAGGCGGCCCCCUGGACGAAGACUGACGCUCAGGUGCGAAAGCGUGGGGAGCAAACAGG
rnacentral:rRNA from 1 species